rnacentral:rRNA from 1 species
UACGUAGGUGGCAAGCGUUGUCCGGAAUUACUGGGCGUAAAGCGUGCGCAGGCGGUUUUGUAAGCCAGAUGUGAAAGCCCCGGGCUUAACCUGGGAAUGGCAUUUGGGACUGCAAGGCUUGAGUGCGGCAGAGGAGACUGGAAUUCCUGGUGUAGCAGUGAAAUGCGUAGAUAUCAGGAGGAAUACCGAUGGCGAAGGCAGGUCUCUGGGCUGACACUGACGCUCAUGCACGAAAGCGUGGGGAGCAAACAGG